UACACAUCAGCCUAUUGAAAGUUUGUUUAGCCAGGCCUACACAUCAGCCAAUUGAAAGUUUGUUUAGUUUUUUCCUUUGAAAAUUUAUUAGGAAGGACAAAAAAAAUAUGCAGAAAUGAAAACAGUAUGAAUACAAUUUUAAGACAAGGAGAAAAAAAAAAUUUAAAAAAUAAGGAAUGAUAUUCAGUAGUAAACAUUGAACAGGCAGUAUAGCAGAGCACACAUUUCUUUUUUUUUUAUUGUUAAGAACAAGCUAGAACAAUCUACCUGCCUUUGUACAACUGUAAGGCUUGAACGAAGCAGCAAGUCUUACAUCCAAAACAUUUUCAUUGAGAAAUGUUGAAAAAUGAUUAGCACCUAGAAGCUGAUACAUUAACUUUAACUAAAGGUCUGUGAAGACAAUCACUGGAUUAUGUUAUGAUUAAGUCAAUUCAGUGUUUUUUAAACCUGACCAACAAGCAUCUAUUUAAAGAAAGGACCAUUGAGAGUGAGCAUUUACAAACAUCCAGGACAUUGACUACUAAAACUAGGCUGUAAUGUAUGUUUCAGAAGUAGAAAUUACAAAAUCAUUUUUAGUAAAUUAUGGCACAACAGCCAUUUUAGUAAAGUAAAUGUGCAAUUGCAUACAUAUCUUGUACAUUUCAGUAGUAGAUAAUUACAAAACAAACAUUUUUUAAAAUAAAUUAUGGCACGAUUGAUUGCUGAAUGACAAUGAUAGCUGAUUGCCAUUGUCGUAAAGUAAAUGUGCACUUGCAUACAUAUCUUAUUAUUUUAAUUUUUUCCCUCAAACAAAAAUAAAUCAACAAGAAAACAAAUUUAGUAACAAAACUUUUUCAAUAUAUCCAUGCAUCCUUUUCAUUCUAAUAAUACAUUGACAGUGUUCUCUGUAAAUAUAGAUAAUAAACUAUUAAACCUUAACUUACAAUGCACUCACGUAAAUCUAAAAUGUCACAAUCUCACUAACUACACUAGUGUCAACAAAUUUAUAAAUCUCACUAACUACGCUAGUGUCAACAAAUGUUACAAUCUCACUAACUACGCUAGUGUCAACAAAUGUUACAAUCUCACUAACUACGCUAGUGUCAACAAAUGUCACAAUCUCACUAACUAC